AAUUAAUUUAUGCUUUUUCUUAGUUCUUUUUUGUUCUUUUUCUGUUUUCUGUUUUUCAGACUUUGACUUUUGCCAUUGACAGUCCCACGAGAAGCCUGAGAGAAUGGAUCCCUCUGUGUCCAGCAAUUGCGUGUAAUUAUGCCCUAACCAGGGCACGGGUUUGCUUCACUUAGAGGCCAAUCGAAGAGGGGAACACACAACGAAAAGUUGCUCAAUCGGAAAAGAUGAAACAAGACAAGUGCGAUGCAAAGAGUAUUGCGUAUUCCGCAUUAUCGUAUUGCUAUUUUCAGUUCUGUUUUUUAAUUGUAAUUGCAAAUAUGAGCGGAAACGCCUGCUUUGAAUGGAUAACACACAGUGAGCCGACCGCAAGACCCAGCCGCGGAGUAUCGGAAAUCGGGGUUACGCAUAAAUCCAGACCGAUCCUCCAACCAGAAGCGGAUCGUUACACUCAGUCGAACCUUUUGGCAUAUUGAUAAGGUCUACUGGCUGCUGGGAUUAGAAAGAGCGACCGAAUGUAUUUCCUUUUAAUUUGAUUGUGUGGCAAUCAAUUCCCUGCGGCUGUUCCCAGGAAACUGCAACACACAUUUUGGAGAGAUUUAAAACCACAAAAUCCUGGCUAGAAAAUAGAUUUUUAAUUAUAGACCAUAAAGCCCGAAGGGAAACAAAAUGUUAGAAAUCGGAACAGCACUUUAAUACAAUUAUUAAUCAAGUUAUUUG
rnacentral:lncRNA from 1 species